UACGGAGGAUCCAAGCGUUAUCCGGAAUCAUUGGGUUUAAAGGGUCCGUAGGCGGCCUUAUAAGUCAGUGGUGAAAUCUCCCGGCUCAACCGGGAAAUGGCCAUUGAUACUGUAGGGCUUGAAUUAUUAGGAAGUAACUAGAAUAUGUAGUGUAGCGGUGAAAUGCUUAGAUAUUACAUGGAAUACCGAUUGCGAAGGCAGGUUACUACUAAUUGAUUGACGCUGAUGGACGAAAGCGUGGGUAGCGAACAGG
rnacentral:rRNA from 1 species